CCUACGGGAGGCAGCAGUGAGGAAUAUUGGUCAAUGGCCGGAAGGCUGACCCAGCCAUGCCGCGUGAAGGUCAGUGCCCUAUGGGCGUUAAACUUCUUUUGUGCGGGAGCAAUAAUGGUCACGUGUGGCCAGACGAGAGUACCGUACGAAUAAGCAUCGGCUAACUCCGUGCUAGCAGCCACGGUCAACGGGGGAUGGAAGCCUUAUCCGGUUUUUUUGGGUUUUAAGGGUGCGUACGCUGUGAGGUAACUCAGCGGUGAAAAGCCCCCGGUCAACGGGGUGAAGUGCGAUUGAUACUGCCUGGCUGGAAUGCGGAUGCCGUGGGAGGAAUGUGUGGUGUAGCGGUGAAAUGCAUAGAUAUCACACAGAACACCGAUUGCGAAGGCAUCUCACGAAUCCGCGAUUGACGCUGAUGCACGAAAGCGUGGGUAUCAAACAGGAUUAGAUACCCCAGUAGUC
rnacentral:rRNA from 1 species